UACAGAGGUGGCAAGCGUUGUUUGGAAUUACUGGGCGUAAAGGGCGCGUAGGCGGUUCGAUAAGUCCCGUGUGAAAUCCCUCGGCUCAACUGAGGAACUGCACGGGAAACUGACGGGCUUGAGUUCGGGAGAGGGAAGCGGAAUUCCGGGUGUAGCGGUGAAAUGCGUAGAUAUCCGGAGGAACACCUGCGGCGAAGGCGGGUUGCUGGGCUGACACUGACGCUGAGGCGCGAAAGCCAGGGGAGCGAACGGG
rnacentral:rRNA from 1 species